rnacentral:sRNA from 1 species
UUCUAGGUCAAGGAGAAAAGCUACUGAAUAAAGAUUCUUAUGCUUACCAGGGCCGUAGCCAGCAACUGCAGCCAGGGUGGAGGGUACCUAGGAUUGGUUUGUCACUCAAGUGCCGAACCCUAGUGCUUAGAUCUGGGUGCUUCAACCCACACACACCCCAGCUCUGAGACACCCAGCAGGUAAAGAAGCCGCCCUGUGGCUUCGCUGGACAGAACAGGCUCCAAAAUCUGAGGCCUAGGUUCAAGUCCCACUGAUCCAUGUCCUCAGGGAGCAUGGCAGCCCUCACCCGCCCGCUCAUGUGGUGGAGUGGGCCUGGGGGAAAGGGACUGUGGGCAUGCUCUAAGGCAAUCAACCAGAUGCUCAGACUUCGGCUCCUGCGUCUCCCCCACAAGAUUCCCCCACAUCCCUCAGUGCCCUGUAAACCAAGGAAGGACUAAGAGUGCAAAUGUGGGCCAUUCUUAGCGGCAAAGCCCGAGUGUUGGUGAGCUGGAAGGACCCAAGUCUUUUCCCUUCCCAGAGGGCCAGCUGCACCCCUCUGCUCACCUUCUCCCCUGGGAAGCACCGCACCGCCCGCGGGGUGGUGGUUUCUGCCGCCCGGAUGGGGCUGUUGCAGCAUCUUUCUAUGUGUCAGUGUUACUGGAGCCUGCCAAGUUCCACAGCUGAUGCCAAAUUAAAUGUCAGCUGCUCUGAGGAUGGUUGGCUGCCUCCCCUGAAGGAGCUAAGGGAGUCGCACAGCUGAGUCUUACGCCAGACUCUGAAUCUGUGUGCGCUUACACCUGGUGUCUGUUAGCAACGGGGCUGCCUUCUGAGAGCCCGUUUGUGAGUGCGCCCAUGCAUGCUGCCCACAUGCCGUCUCAGCUCUCUUGUCUCUGGCUCUGCAAAUUCCUGCCCUGUCACUCAUUAGCCGUGUGACCCUGAGUGAGUCCCGGAACCUCUGAUUCUUGGUGUCCACAUCUGCAAUGUGGUGGUGUGUAGAGCCUGGCUGGAGAGAUCAUAAGGACAUAAGACGUGGGGGUGCACUUGGCAGCAUACAGCGGGACCCCGAGGCCGUCACGUACCACAUGGCACUGACAGUAAUGAUGUGAGGGCCCCGUGUGACUGGAGUGUCAUGAAGGCGUGAGACUCACAGCACACCCCAGCGCAAGGGCAAGAUUGAGGUGCACCUGUCAGGCUCUGACUACCCUGUGUCUUUGGUUUCCAGUUCAGGAUCUCAAGGGGCUCGGCUACGAGAAGGGGAAGCCUGUGGGUCUAGUGGGCGUCACAGAGCUGUCGGAUGCCCAGAAGAAGCAGCUGAAGGAGCAGCAGGAGAUGCAGCAGAUGUACGACAUGAUCAUGCAGCACAAGCGGGCUAUGCAGGACAUGCAGCUGCUGUGGGAGAAGGCGGUGCAGCAGCACCAGCACGGCUAUGACAGCGACGAGGAGGUGGACAGCGAGCUGGGCACCUGGGAGCACCAGCUGCGGCGCAUGGAGAUGGACAAGACCAGGGAAUGGGCCGAGCAGCUGACAAAGAUGGGCCGGGGCAAGCACUUCAUCGGAGACUUCCUGCCUCCAGAUGAGCUGGAAAAGUUUAUGGAGACCUUCAAGGCCCUGAAGGAGGGCCGUGAGCCUGACUACUCAGAGUACAAGGAGUUCAAGCUGACUGUGGAGAACAUUGGCUACCAGAUGCUGAUGAAGAUGGGCUGGAAGGAGGGCGAGGGGCUGGGCUCGGAGGGCCAGGGCAUCAAGAACCCGGUGAACAAGGGCACCACCACAGUGGACGGCGCCGGCUUCGGCAUUGACCGGCCAGCAGAGCUCUCCAAGGAGGACGACGAGUAUGAGGCGUUCCGCAAGAGGAUGAUGCUGGCCUACCGCUUCCGGCCCAACCCCCUGAACAACCCCAGACGGCCUUACUACUGAGUGUUCUGGAAAUACAUACUUUCUGAAUGACCAACCGUCCCUGGACUGUGGAAUGUUCCGGCCUGCAUUUCUGCCCACCCCUCCCGUUGUCACGAGUGCCGUGCCGUGUAAUAAAGUCCCAGUGCUCAUCCAC